rnacentral:sRNA from 1 species
AAUGUAGACAGNGCCCCGCUGGAACAGGACUUCCCAUGUAGAGCCGUUAAAGACGGUGGCAUAACUUAAUACGAUUAAAUA